rnacentral:rRNA from 2 species
UUAAAUUGAAGAGUUUGAUCAUGGCUCAGAUUGAACGCUGGCGGCAGGCCUAACACAUGCAAGUCGAGCGGUAGCACAGAGAGCUUGCUCUCGGGUGACGAGCGGCGGAC